CCUGGCGGCACUAGCGCGGUGGUCCCACCUGACCCCAUGCCGAACUCAGAAGUGAAACGCCUUAGCGCCGAUGGUAGUGUGGGGUCUCCCCAUGCGAGAGUAGGGAACUGCCAGGC
rnacentral:rRNA from 1 species